GACGUAGGGUGCGAGCGUUGUCCGGAUUUAUUGGGCGUAAAGAGCUCGUAGGCGGCUCGUCGCGUCGACCGUGAAAUCCCGCAGCUUAACUGCGGGCUUGCGGUUGAUACGGGCGGGCUAGAGUUCGGUAGGGGAGACUGGAAUUCCUGGUGUAGCGGUGAAAUGCGCAGAUAUCAGGAGGAACACCAGUGGCGAAGGCGAUCUGCUAGGCCUGACCUGACACUCAGACGCGACAGCAUGGGGAGCGAACGGG
rnacentral:rRNA from 1 species